rfam:Myotis brandtii contig250523, whole genome shotgun sequence.
AGGCCCAGAGAGAGGGGCAGGGUCUGAUCCACAGCCUCCGUGGAAGUUGUUGAUCAGCCGUUGCCUCUCUCUCUCUGGGCU